CUCAAAAUAUACAAAAAUAUAUAAAAUCUCUGUAUUACAACAUUCCUUUAAGAAGAUUGCCUAGAAACUUUGAGUCGCCACGUGCCUCUUUGUCAACACGACCACAAGCAUCUUUUUGUUUUGUGUUGCUUUUUUUAUUUAUGUAUUUUAUUUUCUGAAAAAAAAAAACAAGAUUUUCUUGUUCAUUAUCAUCCACAACAGCCCACAAAAUAAGGAUUGCCAAAUAUUUGAAUUGUUCAACUUCAAAAUGGGGAAAAAAUUCAUUUGGGUUUUCUGGAAUUUGUGUUUUCGGGAUUCUGGGUUUUAUGGAUUCAAAAUUUCGGGAUUCUGGGUUUUCUGGAUACCAAGGAUACCUCGAGCAUGCUUAAAGCCAAGAUCAACUAGAAUCACUACGAAUAAAUUUCUAAGUCGUUAGCCUGGAAUCCAAAGAAAAUGACAUAAGCCUUUAUUAAGAAAUUUAGAUUUACAUAGUAUCAUUUUAACAUCGGAAUGGAUUGAAGAUAUCUCCAUGACAUCUUCUACUAUUCCGGCCUUGAAUAAAGCUGAAUGAAAACGA